CAGUAGCCGCGGUAAUACGUAGGUGGCUAGCGUUGUCCGGAAUUAUUGGGCGUAAAGGGAGCGCAGGCGGACAUAUAAGUCCAUCUUAAAAGUGCGGGGCUCAACCCCGUGAGGGGAUGGAAACUGUAUGCCUUGAGUGCAGGAGAGGAAAGCGGAAUUCCCAGUGUAGCGGUGAAAUGCGUAGAUAUUGGGAGGAACACCAGUGGCGAAGGCGGCUUUCUGGACUGUAACUGACGCUGAGGCUCGAAAGCCAGGGGAGCGAACGGGAUUAGAUACCCCCGUAGUCCCUGUCUCUUAUACA
rnacentral:rRNA from 1 species